UACGUAGGUGGCAAGCGAUACUCGGAAUCACUAGGCGUAAAGCGCAGGUAGGCGGUUCGGUAAGUCUUUUGUGAAAGCUCCUGGCUUAACUGGGGAGAGGUCAAAGGAAACUACCGGACUAGAGUUUGGUAGGGGAUACUGGAAUUCCUGGUGUAGCGGUGAAAUGCGUAGAUAUCAGGAGGAAUACCUAUGGCGAAAGCAGGUAUCUGGGCCACAACUGACGCUGAGCUGCGAAAGCUAGGGGAGCAAACAGG
rnacentral:rRNA from 1 species